CUACGUUUUUGCAAAUAACAAGUGUAAACUGUAAUUGAAACCCAUACAUCUGAAAUACGUUUCUUAUAGUUGCGUUCUUUGUAUCUCAAUGGACUGCCCUUUGGAAACCAAUAUUCGCCUUUCUGGACCAUGUUCAGACGAACUGGGUUUUUUGAACGGAAUCUUUGACAAUGGCCAAAUCCUUGAGGCAUCCCUCCUUUUUGUAAUCCUUCAGUAUAGAAUCUUGAUAAUGCCAUAGCUGCUUGCUUUGUAGGAGAUACUAUGGUAGUGGGCGU